CAGCCGCCACGGUAAUACGUAGGGUGCGAGCGUUAAUCGGAAUUACUGGGCGUAAAGCGGGCGCAGACGGUUACUUAAGCAGGAUGUGAAAUCCCCGGGCUCAACCUGGGAACUGCGUUCUGAACUGGGUGACUAGAGUGUGUCAGAGGGAGGUAGAAUUCCACGUGUAGCAGUGAAAUGCGUAGAGAUGUGGAGGAAUACCGAUGGCGAAGGCAGCCUCCUGGGAUAACACUGACGUUCAUGCCCGAAAGCGUGGGUAGCAAACAGGAUUAGAUACCCCCGUAGUCCCUGUCUCUUAUAC
rnacentral:rRNA from 1 species